AUACCUUUGGAUCUUGUUAUCCCAAUCAUCCCAGUGAUACGCGGAACCUUGGUUUCGGGUUGAUUUAAUCACAAAUACCUGCUAGCUCGAGUCUCUGCACGUUAGCAUUGAGGUCCUGCCAUCUCGUUAUAUGGAAGAGCAGUUCAUACUCAGAGUCCCACCAUCUAUUGCAGAGCGAUUAGACUGCCUUCUUAGUGAAUGUGAAAAUGCGUCAUCUUCUGAAGAAAAAUCUUUGGAUUUGACCUUUUCUGAGGAUGUGAGGAGCGGGACAUUUGUCAUUGCCAAUGACCAUUUCCUGCAUCUCUCUUGGAUCUUCCUUCUGUUGUGGAAUCAUAUAAAACAUAUGAUGACAGUGUGUUGAUCAAGACAUUGGCCAGAUGAUUAUGGUUAGAGAAGCAGGUGAUCCUGCUCCAGACAUGGUCUCCCCCCUCCUAUGAGGGAGGCUCGAAAGCGGAGAUUUCGCAGGGAGCCAGAUCUAAAUAUAUUAAAUAAGUCAUUGCAAAGCUUUGCUAACAAACAUAACAGGAAGAUUGUGAAGGAGAAAGAAGGAAAAAAGAAAAAAUAAUCUGUGCUAUCACUUUGGCAUAUGGACGAUCAUUUUGAGAAAUAUGGCUCCUUUUCAUUUGUUAUCUUGUAAUUGCAAAUCAUUUAUUGAAAAGGAAGGCUUUUGUAGUUUAGAAGUUGCAUUUACAAAUAUAGUUUUCGUCUAGGUAUUAAAAUAAAAACGUGAAAUCGGUAUUCUAAUAAAAAGUCACCAAGUCUAUUGAAAUUGGAACUUA